CAGAAUUAGUGAUCUAUUCCAAUUUACCCUACUUUUAACCAUAGCUAGGCCUGGCUGAGUUAGUCUCACUCGACGCCUGACAAUCGAGAUCGGAGAGAUCGUGAGAGAGAGAGGGUUUUGAAAGAGAGAGAGAGUCGGGAGCGAAGAUGAUAAUGCGGAGCUGGAGUUUGGCCACAGGGCCCUUGCUAAUUUUCGGAGGCAUUGCUGCAGUUGCCACUGCUAGGGCCUUCUUCUUCGGAAACUAUGAGAGGCUUUAUAAGCAACAACCCAAGCCCAAAGACAAUUCCUCCACCAAGUAGAUCGGGAUGUGACCCACUUCCAAUGGAAAAAUUCCGUCUUGUGGUGCACCUCUUUUGUUUGAAACUUUCCCUAAGUCACCACUUCCAUUGUUUAUUUCAACACUUUUAUUUGAAAGCAUGGACAUUUUAUCCUGAAUGAAUAAACUUUUUAACAUGAAAAACUUUAUCUGCAUGAUUAUUAUAUAUAUA